CCCAGACUCCUACGGGAGGCAGCAGUGGGGAAUAUUGCACAAUGGGGGGAACCCUGAUGCAGCGACGCCGCGUGAGUGAAGAAGUAUUUCGGUAUGUAAAGCUCUAUCAGUAGGGAAGAUAAUGACGGUACCUGACUAAGAAGCCCCGGCUAACUACGUGCCAGCAGCCGCGGUAAUACGUAGGGGGCAAGCGUUAUCCGGAUUUACUGGGUGUAAAGGGUGCGUAGGUGGCAGGGCAAGUCAGAUGUGAAAGCCCGGGGCCCAACCCCGGUACUGCAUUUGAAACUGUCCGGCUGGAGUGCAGGAGAGGUAAGCGGAAUUCCUAGUGUAGCGGUGAAAUGCGUAGAUAUUAGGGGGAACACCAGUGGCGAAGGCGGCUUACUGGACUGUAACUGACACUGAGGCACGAAAGCGUGGGGAGCAAACAGGAUUAGAUACCCGAGUA
rnacentral:rRNA from 1 species